GUCAUGACCCCACGGUUAAAACCGGGGGCUUGUAAAAGCCCUGCUCAUGACCAGCCUCAGAAAGCCUAGGCAGCUAGGCAAUCUACGUUUAGAAGGUCAUGGCACCUACGAAUGCUUUCCAGUUCGUAGCUCUGCC
rnacentral:sRNA from 28 species